rnacentral:rRNA from 1 species
UACGUAGGUGGCGAGCGUUGUCCGGAUUUAUUGGGUUUAAAGGGUGCGUAGGCGGUCCUAUAAGUCAGUGGUGAAAUAUCGCAGCUCAACUGUGAGGGUGCCAUUGAUACUGUAGGACUUGAGUGAAUUUGAGGUAGGCGGAAUUGACGGCGUAGCGGUGAAAUGCUUAGAUAUCGUCAAGAACACCGAUAGUGAAGACAGCUUACCAAGCUUCAACUGACGCUGAGGCACGAAAGUGUGGGGAUCAAACAGG